rnacentral:rRNA from 1 species
GUCUCUAGCCAUGCUACCUGAACAAGCCGUAUCUGUCUGAUCUUAGAAGCUAAGCAGGGUUGGGCCUGGUUAGUACUUGGAUGGGAGACCACUUCGGAAGAUCAGGUGCUGUAGGUG